rnacentral:rRNA from 1 species
AUGCUGGAGGUAUCAGAAGUGCGAAUGCUGACAUAAGUAACGAUAAAGCGGGUGAAAAGCCCGCUCGCCGGAAGACCAAGGGUUCCUGUCCAACGUUAAUCGGGGCAGGGUGAGUCGACCCCUAAGGCGAGGCCGAAAGGCGUAGUCGAUGGGAAACAGGUUAAUAUUCCUGUACUUGGUGUUACUGCGAAGGGGGGACGGAGAAGGCUAUGUUGGCCGGGCGACGGUUGUCCCGGUUUAAGCGUGUAGGCUGGUUUUCCAGGCAAAUCCGGAAAAUCAAGGCUGAGGCGUGAUGACGAGGCACUACGGUGCUGAAGCAACAAAUGCCCUGCUUCCAGGAAAAGCCUCUAAGCAUCAGGUAACAUCAAAUCGUACCCCAAACCGACACAGGUGGUCAGGUAGAGAAUACCAAGGCGCUUGAGAGAACUCGGGUGAAGGAACUAGGCAAAAUGGUGCCGUAACUUCGGGAGAAGGCACGCUGAUAUGUAGGUGAAGUCCCUCGCGGAUGGAGCUGAAAUCAGUCGAAGAUACCAGCUGGCUGCAACUGUUUAUUAAAAACACAGCACUGUGCAAACACGAAAGUGGACGUAUACGGUGUGACGCCUGCCCGGUGCCGGAAGGUUAAUUGAUGGGGUUAGCGCAAGCGAAGCUCUUGAUCGAAGCCCCGGUAAACGGCGGCCGUAACUAUAACGGUCCUAAGGUAGCGAAAUUCCUUGUCGGGUAAGUUCCGACCUGCACGAAUGGCGUAAUGAUGGCCAGGCUGUCUCCACCCGAGACUCAGUGAAAUUGAACUCGCUGUGAAGAUGCAGUGUACCCGCGGCAAGACGGAAAGACCCCGUGAACCUUUACUAUAGCUUGACACUGAACAUUGAGCCUUGAUGUGUAGGAUAGGUGGGAGGCUUUGAAGUGUGGACGCCAGUCUGCAUGGAGCCGACCUUGAAAUACCACCCUUUAAUGUUUGAUGUUCUAACGUUGACCCGUAAUCCGGGUUGCGGACAGUGUCUGGUGGGUAGUUUGACUGGGGCGGUCUCCUCCUAAAGAGUAACGGAGGAGCACGAAGGUUGGCUAAUCCUGGUCGGACAUCAGGAGGUUAGUGCAAUGGCAUAAGCCAGCUUGACUGCGAGCGUGACGGCGCGAGCAGGUGCGAAAGCAGGUCAUAGUGAUCCGGUGGUUCUGAAUGGAAGGGCCAUCGCUCAACGGAUAAAAGGUACUCCGGGGAUAACAGGCUGAUACCGCCCAAGAGUUCAUAUCGACGGCGGUGUUUGGCACCUCGAUGUCGGCUCAUCACAUCCUGGGGCUGAAGUAGGUCCCAAGGGUAUGGCUGUUCGCCAUUUAAAGUGGUACGCGAGCUGGGUUUAGAACGUCGUGAGACAGUUCGGUCCCUAUCUGCCGUGGGCGCUGGAGAACUGAGGGGGGCUGCUCCUAGUACGAGAGGACCGGAGUGGACGCAUCACUGGUGUUCGGGUUGUCAUGCCAAUGGCACUGCCCGGUAGCUAAAUGCGGAAGAGAUAAGUGCUGAAAGCAUCUAAGCACGAAACUUGCCCCGAGAUGAGUUCU